rnacentral:piRNA from 1 species
GGAUGAGUGAUGUGGAGUAUGGCUUA